rnacentral:sRNA from 1 species
CAUCUCAAAUAACCGAAGUUUCGAAAAUCGGUUUUACGUUCACGCUCAACUUUUGGUUCACAUAGCUGAUGAACACCU